GGGGACGUAGCUCAAUCGGUAGAGCGUAUGUUUUGCAAGCAUGAAGCUGUCGGUUCAAAUCCGAUCGUC
rnacentral:tRNA from 1 species